rnacentral:rRNA from 1 species
CCUACGGGUGGCAGCAGUGGGGAAUAUUGGACAAUGGGCGAAAGCCUGAUCCAGCCAUGCCGCGUGUGUGAAGAAGGCCUUCGGGUUGUAAAGCACUUUCAGUGGGGAAGAAAGCCUUGGGGCUAAUACCCUCGAGGAAGGACAUCACCCACAGAAGAAGCACCGGCUAACUCCGUGCCAGCAGCCGCGGUAAUACGGAGGGUGCGAGCGUUAAUCGGAAUUACUGGGCGUAAAGCGCGCGUAGGCGGUCUGAUAAGCCGGUUGUGAAAGCCCCGGGCUAAACCUGGGAACGGCAUCCGGAACGGUCAGGCUAGAGUGCAGGAGAGGAAGGUAAAAUUCCCGGUGUAGCGGUGAAAGGCGUAGAGAUCGGGAGGAAUACCAGUGGCGAAGGCGGCCUUCUGGACUGACACUGACGCUGAGGUGCGAAAGCGUGGGUAGCAAACAGGAUUAGAUACCCUAGUAGU